rnacentral:RNase_P_RNA from 1 species
UUUAGAUGAUCGCGGUUUGUUUUUUUACAAGCUGAGGAAAGUCCAUACUCGCACAGGCUGAGAUGUCUGUAGUGUUCGUGCCUAGUGAAACCAUAAGCUAGGGUAUUUGUUAAAAAUAACGGCAGGAAAAAUAGCUAAUGUGAAAACAAUGCUUGAGUAUCCUUGAAAGUGCCACAGUGACGAAGCAACAUGGGAAACCUUGUUGGUGGAACGCGGUAAACCCCUCGAGCGAGCAACCCAAAUAUGGUAGGGGCGCUUUUUGAACUGGAAUGAAACGGGACAAAAAGACAAUUUCGAUUGUAGAUAGAUGAUUAUCCAAAUUAUUUUGCUCCCUGUAAAAUAAUUGGACAGAACAUGGCUUAUAG